rnacentral:rRNA from 1 species
GAUGAACGCUGGCGGCGUGCUUAACACAUGCAAGUCGAACGGAAAGGCUCCUGCUUGCAGGGGUACUCGAGUGGCGAACGGGUGAGUAACACGUGGGUGAUCUGCCCUGCACUUCGGGAUAAGCCUGGGAAACUGGGUCUAAUACCUGAUAGGACCACAUUUUGGAUGGUGUGGUGGAAAGUUUUUCGGUGUGGGAUGAGCUCGCGGCCUAUCAGCUUGUUGGUGGGGUAAUGGCCUACCAAGGCGUCGACGGGUAGCCGGCCUGAGAGGGUGUACGGCCACAUUGGGACUGGGAUACGGCCCAGACUCCUACGGGAGGCAGCAGUGGGGAAUAUUGCACAAUGGGCGCAAGCCUGAUGCAGCGACGCCGCGUGGGGGAUGACGGCCUUCGGGUUGUAAACUCCUUUCGCUAGGGACGAAGCGAAAGUGACGGUACCUGGAGAAGAAGCACCGGCUAACUACGUG